UAGGAUUUAAUGCCAGUGAGAGAAUGGACUGGCUAGCAAGGAGAGAGCAAAUAAACUAAGAAAGCAACUUCCUUCUUUCAUGUCCUUUAUAUAAGCUUCCAGCAGAAGGUGUGGCCCAGAUUGGAGUACAAGAACAUGAGGUCAAAACCUAAAUUUAGAGGAAUUUUAAUCCAGCAACAUGGCUGCUCUAGCAAGGGAUGACAUCCAAAGAUAUGAUCCAGCAGGAAUGCAGACAUGCCCUGAUUGCAAUAUGAUCUGGCUGGAAUACAGACAUUUCCUUAGUACACACCUUUAAUUCCUAACAAUAAAGAGCUACUGAAGACUCAAAGUAAUUCAGUUACCUAGUCAACACUGGGUGUCCUACAAUUGUACUCAAUCAGACACCUGGAGGAAAGUGUCCAUGUCCCCUGGAUGUCCUAGCCUUCACCCUUAUGCCCUCUGCCAUUUGAAGACACUAGUUCCAUGACAUCUGGCGAACAUAAAACUCAAGGCCCCAUCAUGGAAACAGAGAUCAGGUCCUGGGCAGACACCAAGCUUGUUGACAUCUUGAUCUUGAGCUCCCGCUAACCAUAACAAAUGACAGAGAAGGAUGGGCCAGAGUGCGGGGCAAGCUGACAGCACAGAUAGGAAAUUACGAAAGGCCUACCUUGCGUGUUGCCAAGGGGCCAAAGGU
rnacentral:lncRNA from 1 species